UCUGGUUGAUCCUGCCAGUAGUUAUAUGCUUGUCUCAAAGAUUAAGCCAUGCAUGUCUAAGUACACACGAAUUAAAAGUGAAACCGCAAAAGGCUCAUUAUAUCAGUUAUGGUUCCUUAGAUCGUUAACAGUUACUUGGAUAACUGUGGUAAUUCUAGAGCUAAUACAUGCAAUUAAAACAUGAACCUUAUGGGACAUGUGCUUUUAUUAGGCUAAAACCAAGCGAUCGCAAGAUCGUUUAUUUGGUUGAACUCUAGAUAACAUGCAGAUCGUAUGGUCUUGUACCGACGACAGAUCUUUCAAAUGUCUGCCCUAUCAACUUUUGAUGGUAGUAUCUAGGACUACCAUGGUUGCAACGGGUAACGGGGAAUCAGGGUUCGAUUCCGGAGAGGGAGCCUGAGAAACGGCUACCACAUCUAAGGAAGGCAGCAGGCGCGUAAAUUACCCACUCCCAGCUCGGGGAGGUAGUGACGAAAAAUAACAAUACAGGACUCAUAUCCGAGCCCUGUAAUUGGAAUGAGUACACUUUAAAUCCUUUAACAAGGACCAAUUGGAGGGCAAGUCUGGUGCCAGCAGCCGCGGUAAUUCCAGCUCCAAUAGCGUAUAUUAAAGUUGUUGCGGUUAAAACGUUCGUAGUUGAACUUGUGCUUCAUACGGGUAGUACAACUUACAAUUGUGGUUAGUACUAUACCUUUAUGUAUGUAAGCGUAUUACCGGUGGAGUUCUUAUAUAUGUUUAAAUACUUGUAUUUUUUCAUAUGUUCCUCCUAUUUAAAAACCUGCAUUAGUGCUCUUAAACGAGUGUUAUUGUGGGCCGGUACAAUUACUUUGAACAAAUUAGAGUGCUAAAGCAGCUUCAAAUGCCUGAAUAUUCUGUGCAUGGAUAAUGAAUAAGACCUCUGUUCUGCUUUCAUUGGUUUUCAGAUCAAGAGGUAAUGAUUAAUAGAAGCAGUUUGGGGGCAUUAGUAUACGACGCGAGAGGUGAAAUUCUUGGACCGUCGUAAGACUAACUUAAGCGAAAGCAUUUGCCAAAGAUGUUUUUCAUUAAUCAAGAACGAAAGUUAGAGGUUCGAAGGCGAUCAGAUACCGCCCUAGUUCUAACCAUAAACGAUGCCAGCUAGCAAUUGGGUGUAGCUACUUUUAUGGCUCUCUCAGUCGCUUCCCGGGAAACCAAGCUUUUGGGCUCCGGGGGAAGUAUGGUUGCAAAGCUGACUUAAAGGAAUUGACGGAAGGGCACCACCAGGAGUGGAGCCUGCGGCUUAAUUUGACUCAACACGGGAAAACUUACCAGGUCCGAACAUAAGUGUGUAAGACAGAUUGAUAGCUCUUUCUCGAAUCUAUGGUGGUGGUGCAUGGCCUUAGUUCGUGUGAUUUGUCUCUGGUUAAUUCCGAUAACGAACGAGACUCAAAUAUAUUAAAUAGAUAUCUUCAGGAUUAUGCUGAAGCUUAUAUAGCCUUCAUUCAUAGUUGCAGCAAUGUAUAUUGUGUUUGAAUGUGUUUAUAUAAGUGGAGCCGUACCUGUUGGUUUUGUCCAUUAUAA
rnacentral:rRNA from 1 species